CGAAGUUAAUCGUAUUCGAUUCGAUAUAAGUGUGCAAAUAGUUUAUAGAAAGAAGACGCAUCUGAACCUGCACAGAAAAAUCUACCAAGUGAUGCUUUAUAUGCCUUGAAACAAGGAUAAAUCGUUUUUUUGGCCUCUGAUUGAUACGGAUAUAGCAUUGGGGAAACAGACGCUUGCUGAACUACCCCCUUUUAGCUUCGUUCCGGGUUUCUGGAUCCUGGAAUAUCAUUAUUCUAGUUUCGGUGUGGCCUGCUAUGUUUGUGGUCGUUCGCUGUCCGAGCUAUGGAUUAGGACAAGACAGCUGGCAGAUGACAGGUGCAGUCAGCUGUGCGUUGGCGUUGAUAGAUUCCGAUCAUAUACAGGGUUUGGUCGACGAAAAGCUUGAGGAAGGCCCAGUUUGCAAACGGCUUUCAGAGUCCGAAUUCGGUUUCAUUUCGUUGCAAGUCGUCGGCGUUCAGCUUCAAAUACACAGACAAGCGAACAAUAUUCUUUACACAAAAGUGUGCUUGUGUAAAAAUACUUUGUACAGUACGGUAAAGGAUCAAUCGUGUGUACAAACUGUGUGAGGAAGGUAUCAAGUUCCUGGACACUUGACAAUCGCGUAUACCUCGUUUACCUAAUGGCGUACGAUCGUAUCCAGCGACUACUUGGGUAAUCAUCAAACAAUCUACAGGUGCAACACACGUUUUGUCUACCAUGUUUAAGAACGCAAAUGAAAAUAACGAAUGGUGCAGUCAACCGCAAGCUGCAUAGGUGGGCAGAUGUACAUCGGCUUUCGUAGAGCUACGUACCCAGGUAGGCGCCUAAAUGAGCGGUUAGCCAACUAGGUGUGAAAGUGAUGCUGCGGCUAUCGGCUGCGUAAAAAGCCCUAUAGGAAAACCUGGGAAAGGCUUGUUGGAAGGACGCCAACAAGCCAAUGAAGCAAGUCACUUGUUUGUGUAGGAGACAGGCUGACCGGGACCAGCAUCUAUGUGUGUGCAUGUAGGCGUGACAAAAUGGGCAUGUCUCUGCGUAUGUGCGUGUGUAUA